rnacentral:rRNA from 1 species
UACAGAGGGGGCAAGCGUUAUUCGGAAUUAUAGGGCGUAAAGGGCGCGUAGGCGGCCUGGCAAGUGGAAGGUGAAAUCCCUCGGCUUAACCGAGGAACUGCCCUCCAAACUGCUUGGCUUGAGUCCGGGAGAGGUGAGUGGAAUUCCCAGUGUAGCGGUGAAAUGCGUAGAUAUUGGGAGGAACACCAGUGGCGAAGGCGGCUCACUGGACCGGAACUGACGCUGAGGCGCGAAAGCGUGGGGAGCAAACGGG